CUUGCUUUGCGCUGACGAGUGGCGGACGGUGCGUAACGCGUGGAAAUCUACCUAUAAGCUGGGGAUAAGCUUUGGAAACAGAGUCAAUACCGAAUGAGUUCUACGGAAUAAAGAUUUGCCACUCCUUGGAAGCAGUCACUUAUAGAUGAGUCUGCGUUGGAUUAGCUAGUUAAUGGGGUAAAGGCCUACCAAGGCGACGAUCCAUAGCUGGUUUGAGAGGAUGAUCAGCCACACUGGGACUGAGACACGGCCCAGGCUCC
rnacentral:rRNA from 1 species